UACUCUGGUUAUCGUCUGGGAUGAUUGAACUGGGGAUCUUUGGAGCUUAGUGCAGGAGCCUCUACCGAAUGAGCUAAAAGCCCACUGCCUUUUAGCUAAGGCUGUAGAGUGGACUAAUUUUCGAUCUCUCUCUCUAAGUUGUCUUGGUGCCACUAGAUGGGACAGAA